rnacentral:lncRNA from 1 species
UAUUUAUUUAUUUUUGUUUAAAUUUUUUUUAUGUUAGUAGAUCCUAUUAAUGAGAAUUCAAUGAUGUUUGUUAUCCUAACAACUAUGAGUCAUGGUUGUUAUAUAUAGUAACUUUUUUUGGGAGGAUCGACCAAAGCUCUUUUGUGAGAUUGGUAUAACUCUUUUUGGAACAACAUUUCUCAUUGUUAGGAGGAUUGCAAGUGUAAUACGAGGCCUUUGAAUUUUCU